rnacentral:rRNA from 1 species
GGGAAAAGGUACGAAGAUCCUCACUCUCCAGGCCCUACUCAGCAUGGACGAUGCAGGUUCAGAGUCAACGGCUGUGCCCCUCGAUUUAUUACUACAAAUCACAGAUGGUUUCUCCGAGGAGCGGAAACUUGGUAGUGGUUCGUUUGGAGAGGUUUACUUGGGUGUGCAUCCAGACGGGCAAAAGAUUGCUGUGAAGAAGAUCUAUGAUAUGCCAGGAGUUGACGAGGAGCAAUUUCAGAAUGAGUUUAAGAACCUUGCAAGGCUGCAGCACCGAAAUAUUGUGCGGUUAGUUGGCUAUUGCCACCAUAUUCAGGAAGUACCAGCAAUGUAUGAAGGAAAAUUGGUUCUUGCGGAAAAGAUACAUAGGGCGCUCUGCUUGGAGUAUAUGUCUAAUGGAAGCCUUGAAAAAUAUAUUUCUGAUGAAUGUGAUAAAUAUGAUUGGCACACUGGCUACGGAAUAAUUAAGGGGAUUUGCCAGGGUUUGAAAUACCUCCACACUAAAUUAGAGCCACCUAUUUAUCAUUUGGAUUUAAAGCCAGCCAACAUAUUGCUGGAUGAGAACAUGGUUCCCAGAAUUGCAGAUUUUGGGAUAUCAAGGCUGUUUGGAGAUGAACGAACGCGAGCUACAAAAAGUACUUUAGGAACACAAGGGUACUUACCACCGGAAUACAUACGCAACUAUUUAAUCUCAAGUAAAUUUGACAUAUUCAGCCUGGGUGUUGUAAUCAUAAAGAUAAUGGCAGGACGGGCGGGCUACUACAAAAGCGCUGAAAUGUCUUCCCACGAAUUCAUUAAUGUUGUACAGGAAAAUUGGACAAAUAGGCCACAUGAAACAUCGAGUCUGAUGAAGGCAUAUUCCAAGCAAGUAAAGAUAUGUAUUGAAAUAGGUUUAAGUUGUGUGCAGGAGGAUCGACACAAAAGGCCCACUGUACAGAAUAUUGUUGAUAGACUGAAUGAGACAGAAACUGAGUGUACCUGUGCGUAUAAGAAAUUUGAGGUGCAGGAGAACUCAGGGGGGCUCACCCCUAAUUAUUUCAUGAAUAAUGGCCGCUCUGUCAGUGAAGUGCCUCUGAACAAUGAUGCAGGCCCUUCCAUACAAGCUAGAAAUGCAUGGCAAUAUCCUAAAGACAUGACUGCACAACAAGAACUUGGCGAACGACAAGCAGCUUCGCUUCCUAAUGGAAUUUAUGAGCCUCCUAGGCAGAUAAUGGAAGGUUUUCCUGAAUCUGGAGGCACCACUACAGUUGAAAGACAGGAUCUUGCAGUCAGAGUUCAAGAAGCAAUCACUGAUCCUUUUGUCGUCAAAGACCGCCGAAGCGCAUUAAAUGGAAAGAGUUAUCCUCCAUCUAAAGAAGAAGCGGUACAUCGUAUGGAGAACGUUUCUCUAAAGGGGAAGCGUUGCAAUGACCUAGCUGAUAAAAAUAUUACUACAGUGAAGCGCUUUAUGGGUCAUUAUCACAGAGACAAAUCUGGUCUCCAAAAGCUUAAAGUGAAGAGCUGGAAAUUGCCCGCAUUCAAGAAAUUUGAGGAGCGGGAAAACUCAGGGGUUCUUAUUCCUGAUUAUUUGAUGAUGAAUGGCUGCCCUGUCCGUGCAGUGUCUCUGAACAAUGAUGCAGGUCCUUCUGUACAAGCUAGAACUAUAUGGCAAUAUCCUAAUGACAUGGCCGCACAACACGUAUUUAGUGAUCGACAUCCAUUGAAUGGGUUCUCACGGGCCGCAGUCCUGUCAAACAAUGGCGCCGGUCCUUCAAACCAAGGAACACUGCCGUUUUCACAGCCCACAUAUGAACAGACUGUGCAUCAAGGAAAUGGUCAGCACGAUCCUUCUAUGGCGCAGAAUGGAAUUCCUGAUUAUCUGCCCCAGGGAAAUAUCUUAAAUGAUCAGGGAUCACUUUCAGCACAGCCAACUCCGUUCCACAAUUUUCUACCAGUUCCAGCGGAUGAGAUGAUCACAGGUGCAAGUCUAACUGACGAACAGACUGAAUACUUCUCGACAACUGAUUCUCUUGGCACUCUAGAAAAUGCAAUUCCUGGGCCUGAAUUGGACAUAUCCUGUGACAGCCCCAAGAGCUUAUUGCAAGCCAAGAAUCCUUUGAAACAAGGUAACUGGAGACAGCUUCUGGGAAUUAAUACAGGAGACUUGAAGCAGGUGAUCAUAGCAUGUGGUAAGGCUGCUGCAGAGAAUGAUAUACAUACAGAAGUGCUGAUAUCUGAGCUACGUCAGCUGGUGUCUAUCUCUGGAGAUCCAAUGCAACGCCUAGGAGCAUAUAUGUUGGAAGGCCUUGUUGCCAGAUUUUCUUCCUCUGGAAGUAAGCUGUAUAAAUCCUUGAAGUACAAAGAACCUACAAGCUCCGAGCUCAUGUCUUACAUGCAUCUCCUUUAUGAGAUGUGCCCAUUCUACAUGUUUGGUUACAUGUCAGCCAAUGGCGCCAUAGCAGAGGCUAUCAAAGGCGAGAACUUCGUUCACAUCAUUGAUUUCCAAAUCGCACAGGGGAGCCAGUGGAUAACUAUCAUUCAGGCUCUUGCGGCGAGGUCCGGGGGUCCACCAUGCCUAAGAAUCACUGGUAUAGAUGACUCAAACUCUGCUUAUGCCCGAGGUGGUGGACUGGAUAUGGUUGGGACAAGAUUGCAUAGUGUCUCUGCGUCGUGCGGUGUGCCCUUUGAGUUCAAUGCUGUUCAUGCUGCUAGCCAUGAGGUUUAUCUUGAGCAUCUUGAUAUAAGACCUGGGGAGGUCAUUGUGGUGAAUUUCGCCUAUCAGCUGCAUCAUACUCCUGAUGAAAGCGUGAGCACAGAAAAUCAUCGGGACAGGAUUAUAAGAAUGAUCAAGAGCCUAGCCCCCAGGGUGGUGACUCUUGUUGAGCAGGAGUCGAAUACAAACACAACUCCAUUCUUCCAAAGAUACUUGGAGACCCUCGACUACUACACGGCAAUAUUCGAGAUAAUAGAUGUUGCUCUCCCAAGGGAUGACAAGACACGGAUUAGCACGGAGCAGCACUGUCUUGCCAGGGAUAUCAUCAGUUUAAUCGCGUGUGAGGGUGCUGAAAGGGUUGAGAGGCAUGAGGUGUUUGGAAAAUGGAAGGCAAGGUUUGCAAUGGCUGGAUUUAGGCCGUACCCACUGAGUUCGCUGGUGAACAACACCAUCAAAACACUGCUGGAUGGCUACCACCGUUGCUACAGGCUUGAGGAAAGGGACGGAGUCCUUUACCUUGGUUGGAAGAGUAGGAUGUUGGUCGUGUCUUCUGCAUGGCGCUGACAUGUCCUGAGAAGACGCUCAUAUGGAACGUGUGCUUAUAAUUAAGGGCUUUGCUGCUUGUCGGUUCAGUUGUCUGUCUACUCACUGGUCAUCUUAAUUCAGAGGAAUCCGCACCAGGAGUUGCUGUAAAAAUACCGCGACAGCCAACGUAGAAGAAGGCGUAGUGAUUAAAUAAAUAAAUAUGUUUAUAGCUAGGAAUUUGGUGUGUUGUGGUUUGCUCCCGUUGUACUAGGAUUGACAUCUCUAAUUAGGGGAUGUUUAGAGAUGAUUAAAAGCUAUGCAGGCACAAGACACGCCUGUUGCAUGUGUCCUAUUUUUCUAGAUAAUGUGGUACUUCUUUUCUGGCGGGUCAGAGAUGCAUGCAUACAUGUCUUCCAGAUUUAUGCAAUAUGCAAUAAUGCUUUAAACCUCUUCUGCUGCUUGCUGCCCUGAAAUAAUACUACAGUAGUGAAUAUUAUAGCGUACUGAUUCAGGAGAAAAGUCUAGGAAAUAUGUGAUGAACCUGUGAUAUACAACUCUGGAGAUCCAGCUCACACCCAAAUAUGUGCAAUAUGGAAGGCUCUCCAAGCUCAUCUUCCGAUGCUUCUUCAAGCCAGGAGGAGUGUAUUUGAAAAAGAAGGGUCUUUCGAAGAAUUGCCAACAACCGUCUGCGCUUCUCAUUUAUGCAACAGGAGCUGUGAGGAGCAUAUACCCAGCUGGAAGCAGUCAUCAGAGCCUUGGCCAACACAGGGGGUAUCUUCGGGUGGACACCAGGCGAAGAUGGCUGUCUGUUCUGUUGGCGCUCGUAUCGCGCGUCGAUAAGACAACGAGAAGCCGACUUCGAUUUGUUGCUGCUUGGCUUUCUCAACAAAUCAGCCAUUAUGGUCUAAAUUUUUAAUGCCAAAAUUAUGUUUCUAGACCAUGUAAUAAG